CUUACAUCCAUGUGCGAUCCUCCAAUGGAAGCAACCAACUAGAUGUACGUGAUUGAGAUUGGUGUCACUAACUAGGAAAAUCAACUGAUUUUUAGAGGUCACUGGGUUUUGGCCAAUGAGUAGGCUGCGAGCUGGCAAAGUGGGCAGGGGGGCAAAGCCAAACCCAGUGAAAAUAUUAUUCAUAGUUAUCUGAAACAGGCGUGAUUGAUUGCC
rnacentral:misc_RNA from 1 species